CACGGACAUGGAAAGAGAAGAAGAAACGGUAGCGUGGCGGAUGUUUUGAACACGAUGAGUGGCCAACAGAAUUGAACGACUCUGGAGAGAUGUGUGGUGUGCUGUGACCAGCAUAUACUACAGUGUGCUGCAUUCACUAGAGGAGGAUGGUUUGCUUGACUUGUCAAACAUUGCACACCUCUUCAGUUGUCAUUAUGCGUUUCUGCCCAGACUACAAGCUAGUCUUGAUAUCUUCACCAGUGGAUGGGAUAACCACCCACUCAGAACUGAGGGGAUUGUACCUACCACAUUUGGACUGGGAGGACAGUGGUCUGCCUGAUGAGCCACACCAUGGUGUCACUGUUCUUGAGAUGGGCGAUGUACUGAGUGAUGAGCAAAUGGCAGCACUAAGGGCAGCCAUAAAUCCCCUGGGACACUCCCAAUCACAUGGCUCAGACAUCUACCUACUUACUGUGCAGUAUGUCCAGCACUUACAAGGCUUACAGUAAAACGUACUCAGCAAAGGACCUGAUUCGAUGCAAUUGUAGCACAAAUACACUCUCACAUUCUCUACAUACAUUUGGGUAACAAAAAGAACACUUAUUUACAGAAGAGUGCCCCUGCUAAUAACUGGUUUGUAAGAGAUGUUACAGUAUAGGCCUGUAAGAGAUGUUACAGUAUAGGCCUAUAAUUUCUUUUCACACUAAAACCAAAUAAAUAUUUCUG